CGUGGAGUGGCCGCGCGGUUUAAGGCGCUGGUUUAAGGCACCAGUUCGAAAGGGCGUGGGUUCGAAUCCCACUUCCAUCA
rnacentral:tRNA from 1 species